rnacentral:lncRNA from 1 species
AUAGCUCGUUUCGAAUGAUUUAGCUCUUCUGGAAGUAGUGGCGCUGACGGAUUUUGGGUUUGACGUACGGAUUUCGAGAAAAUUUGAAAAUACAUGUUUUAUAUGUAUUUGCGUGUCAUUUUGUCUUUUGGAGAGAGAGAACGGAUUUCAUCGCGAAUCCGUGAUCGAUCGAGGUGAACCAAAAUCAUAGCUUUGUUGUCUACGUCGUGCUGAUCGCACUGGUGCGAUCCGUUCGCAAAUCUGACGGACGGAUCUGCGGAGAAUGCGCGUUGUUCGAGGAGAGGUCGGUGAUGGCAAAACGGUAUUUUAGCAA